rnacentral:rRNA from 1 species
GACGAACGCUGGCGGCGUGCCUAAUACAUGCAAGUUGAGCGCUGAAGGUUGGUACUUGUACCGACUGGAUGAGCAGCGCACGGGUGAGUAACGCGUGGGGAAUCUGCCUUUGAGCGGGGGACAACAUUUGGAAACGAAUGCUAAUACCGCAUAAAAACUUUAAACACAAGCUUUAAGUUUGAAAGAUGCAAUUGCAUCACUCAAAGAUGAUCCCGCGUUGUAUUAGCUAGUUGGUGAGGUAAAGGCUCACCAAGGCGAUGAUACAUAGCCGACCUGAGAGGGUGAUCGGCCACAUUGGGACUGAGACACGGCCCAAACUCCUACGGGAGGCAGCAGUAGUGAAUCUUCGGCCAGGGACGAAAGUCUGACCGAGCAACGCCGAGGGAGUGAAGAAGGUUGUCGGAUCGUAAAACUCUGUUGGUAGAGAAGAACGUUGGUGAGAGUGGAAAGCUCAUCAAGUGACGGUAACUACCCAGAAAGGGACGGCUAACUACGUG